rnacentral:tmRNA from 2 species
ACCUAUUGGACCCGGGGGCGGUACCCGGCGCCUCCACCAAAAUAUAAACCACCAAAAUUAUAUUUUGGUGGGGGCGAAAUAGGAUCGACAAGGGUGUAAAGAUCGCUCUUUUACUCGGCAUUGUACCACCGUUAUCGGGCUAAAUGAGUAGUUGCAAAUGACAACUAUGCGGAAGCACGUCUCGCCGCUUAAGGUGGUGUGAAUGUUUCAAAAUGACUCUUAAACCGUCGCAGGUUUAAGCGGGGUUGGAAGG